GGAAAACCAGUCAUGAACAUACAAUGAAUAAAUCAAUCUUUAAAAACAAAACAAAAAAACCAUUAAUUUUAUUUAUAAGGUCAUUGGAAACUUGGUGACGUUUACAGUGAGAAAGUACCAGGGCCAGCUCUGCAUUCAGACUGAUGGGGAAACCACUGUGGAAGAUGGCUUAUUAGGAGGAGGAGGAUGGAUGGAAGCAUUGUGAACAGGAAUAAAUAUAGCAAGGAUGGGGGGAAGAGGGGCCUGGGAUGAUGCUCAGGUUUCUUAUUUGGGGACUUGACAAAGGUCAUUCACCUGGUAGGUGGUACAACAGUAAACGUCAAAAGAAAGAGUAGGAAAAAUGAUUUGCUUUGGGAGAUUAAUCCAGGUGUCUACAUCCAGUAGACAGAUUGUGUACAGGCCCGGCAUUUGAACUUGGUUAGUGUGAAAAAUACAUAUACCUGCGGUUGUGUGAAUCUUUCUCAGGUGAAAUGGGGUUACAAGUAGAAAGCUUUAAGAAGCUCUGGUCUACCUUGCUGAAGUGAAUAGUAGGUUUUGUUUGCUCUUAUAUUUUUGUUCUUUCUGAUUAAAAUAUUAAUGAGUGUUAAUGACGAAAGUAUGAAGAAAAAACAUACACCCCAUAAUCAGUUAAUCCUUGUGAAAAGGUAAAGAGAUAAUGUAUCUUGUUAGAAAAUACCAACAUUUAGAGAAAUAUAAAAAUGAAAAGUGCAGGCUUCCUGUGUCUUCCGACCCUUAAUCACUGUUAACAGGCCCCUUUAUUCCCUUCUAGAAAAGGUGUGCAGAAGCCCACCAGACCUGUAUAUCCGCAAAAAGGCUCUGCCACAAGAAGUGUUUGAGAGGUCCACUGAAUCGAGGUCUCAGUUAGCCUACUACUUUGCCUGGCUACCUGCUGUGCCAUUUCUGGUGUCUUGAGACCCUGAUGCCAGGAUGAGGGAGAGAGGACGAAGAAAGAGACGAAUACAGGCUACAGGGGAACUUUGAGAUCCACUCUCCCCGGAUGGACCCUUUUUAGAAAACAUCACAGAAGUCAAAUCGUGAGGAAGUGGGCUGAGGCCUGGGUUCGGAUACCAGCCUUCCUUUUCACUGGCCCUGAAAUCUGUGCGACUUC
rnacentral:lncRNA from 1 species